CAGUCGCCGCGGUAAUACGUAGGUGGCAAGCGUUGUCCGGAUUUAUUGGGCGUAAAGCGAGCGCAGGCGGUUCCUUAAGUCUGAUGUGAAAGCCCACGACUCAACCGUGGAAGGUCAUUGGAAACUGGGGAACUUGAGUGCAGAAGAGGGGAGUGGAAUUCCACGUGUAGCGGUGAAAUGCGUAGAGAUGUGGAGGAACACCAGUGGCGAAGGCGACUCUCUGGUCUGUAACUGACGCUGAGGAGCGAAAGCGUGGGGAGCGAACAGGAUUAGAGACCCCCGUAGUCCCUGUCUCUUAUAA
rnacentral:rRNA from 1 species